AUUGAACGCUGGCGGCAUGCUUUACACAUGCAAGUCGAACGGCAGCGCGGGCUUUGGCCUGGCGGCGAGUGGCGAACGGGUGAGUAAUACAUCGGAACGUGCCCAGUAGUGGGGGAUAGCUCGGCGAAAGCCGGAUUAAUACCGCAUACGACCUGAGGGUGAAAGCGGGGGAUCUUCGGACCUCGCGCUAUUGGAGCGGCCGAUGGCGGAUUAGCUAGUUGGUGGGGUAAAGGCCUACCAAGGCGACGAUCUGUAGCUGGUCUGAGAGGACGACCAGCCACACUGGGACUGAGACACGGCCCAGACUCCUACGGGAGGCAGCAGUGGGGAAUUUUGGACAAUGGGCGAAAGCCUGAUCCAGCAAUGCCGCGUGUGUGAUGAAGGCCUUCGGGUUGUAAAGCACUUUUGGCGGGAACGAAAAGGACUGUGCCAAUACCACGGUUCGAUGACGGUACCCGCAGAAUAAGCACCGGCUAACUACGUG
rnacentral:rRNA from 1 species